rnacentral:rRNA from 1 species
AUGGCUAGUGCGGAGGAUGUGAAGCAGCGGCAGGUUGUUGAAGACCGUGCAAGAAAUAUUAGCCACAAUGUCCGGUGCACUGAGUGUGGCAGCCAGUCCAUUGAAGAUUCGCAAGCAGAUGUUGCAGUUCUCCUUAGAAGGUUAAUUCGUGAUGAAAUAAAAUCUGGAAAGAGUGAUAAGGAGAUAUACAAAAAACUAGAAGAAGACUUUGGAGAAACAGUUCUAUAUGCCCCUAAAUUUGAUCUUCAAACUGCUGCCAUAUGGUUAUCACCGGUCAUUGUGGGCGGCGUAGCAGCUGGUGUGUGGGCUUACCAAAAGCACAGGCAAAGGACCAACGUUCACAUCAUGGCUCUGAACCUCGUCCGAGGGGUUCCCCUGACUCCAAGGGAGAAGGAGACGAUGAUCGACAUCCUCACGCCGCCUCCGCCGGCAAGAAGCUGGUGGUGGCCUCUCAAAUGA